UGGGGAAUAUUGGACAAUGGGGGGAACCCUGAUCCAGCCAUGCCGCGUGUGUGAAGAAGGCCUUAUGGUUGUAAAGCACUUUAAGCGAGGAGGAGGGUACUGGUAUUAAUACUACCAGGUACUGGACGUUACUCGCAGAAUAAGCACCGGCUAACUCUGUGGCAGCAGCCGCGGUAAUACAGAGGGUGCGAGCGUUAAUCGGAUUUACUGGGCGUAAAGCGUGCGUAGGCGGCUAAUUGAGUCGGAUGUGAAAUCCCCGAGCUUAACUUGGGAAUUGCAUUCGAUACUGGUUAGCUAGAGUGUGGGAGAGGAUGGUAGAAUUCCAGGUGUAGCGGUGAAAUGCGUAGAGAUCUGGAGGAAUACCGAUGGCGAAGGCAGCCAUCUGGCCUAACACUGACGCUGAGGUACGAAAGCAUGGGGAGCAAACAGG
rnacentral:rRNA from 1 species